AACGAAGCACUUUUACAGAUUUCUUCGGAAUGAAGUUUAGUGACUGAGUGGCGGACGGGUGAGUAACGCGUGGGUAACCUGCCUCACACAGGGGGAUAACAGUUGGAAACGGCUGCUAAUACCGCAUAAGCGCACAGUACCGCAUGGUACAGUGUGAAAAACUCCGGUGGUGUGAGAUGGACCCGCGUCUGAUUAGCUAGUUGGCAGGGUAACGGCCUACCAAGGCGACGAUCAGUAGCCGACCUGAGAGGGUGACCGGCCACAUUGGGACUGAGACACGGCCCAAACUCCUACGGGAGGCAGCAGUGGGGAAUAUUGCACAAUGGGGGAAACCCUGAUGCAGCGACGCCGCGUGAGCGAAGAAGUAUUUCGGUAUGUAAAGCUCUAUCAGCAGGGAAGAAGAAAUGACGGUACCUGACUAAGAAGCACCGGCUAAAUACGUGCCAGCAGCCGCGGUAAUACGUAUGGUGCAAGCGUUAUCCGGAUUUACUGGGUGUAAAGGGAGCGCAGGCGGAAGGCUAAGUCUGAUGUGAAAGCCCGGGGCUCAACCCCGGUACUGCAUUGGAAACUGGUCAUCUAGAGUGUCGGAGGGGUAAGUGGAAUUCCUAGUGUAGCGGUGAAAUGCGUAGAUAUUAGGAGGAACACCAGUGGCGAAGGCGGCUUACUGGACGAUAACUGACGCUGAGGCUCGAAA
rnacentral:rRNA from 1 species